rnacentral:misc_RNA from 1 species
GAUGAAGAACGUAGCGAAAUGCGAUACGUAAUGUGAAUUGCAGAAUUCAGUGAAUCAUCGAAUCUUUGAACGCACCUUGCGCCCCUUGGCAUUCCGAGGGGCACACCCGUUUGAGUGUCGUGAACAUCCUCAACCUCCUUGGUUUUUAUCGAACCAAGUAGGAUUGGAAUUUGGAGGUUUUCUGCUGGCCUCCUCUGAAGCCAGCUCCUCUUAAAUGUAUCAGUGGGAUACGCUUUGCUUAGAUCCUCGACGUUGAUAAGAUGUUUCUACGUCUUGGGUUUUUCUCGCAAAGGACCUGCUUCUAACCGUCCCCAUCGGGGACAACCUUUGAGCCGAUCACCCUUCACGGGGUGGGAAGCUGUUUGGCCCACGAAACCUUGACCUCAAAUCGGGUGAGACUACCCGCUGAACUUAAGCAUAUCAAUAAGCGGAGGA